UAGACCCGAAACCGGGCGAUCUAGCCAUGGGCAGGUUGAAGGUUGAGUAACAUCAACUGGAGGACCGAACCCACUAACGUUGAAAAGUUAGGGGAUGACUUGUGGCUGGGGGUGAAAGGCCAAUCAAACCGGGAGAUAGCUGGUUCUCCCCGAAAUCUAUUUAGGUAGAGCCUCGGACGAAUUCCAUUGGGGGUAGAGCACUGUUAAGGCUAGGGGGUCAUCC
rnacentral:rRNA from 1 species